rnacentral:rRNA from 1 species
GAGUGAUCAAGUGUCUUAAGGGCAUUUGGUGGAUGCCUUGGCAUGCACAGGCGAUGAAGGACGUGAUACGCUGCGAUAAGCGUCGGGGAGGUGCGAAUACCCUUUG